UACGUAGGGGGCAAGCGUUGUCCGGAUUUAUUGGGCGUAAAGAGCGUGUAGGCGGCUUUACAGGUCCGUUGUGAAAACUCGAGGCUCAACCUCGAGACGCCGGUGGAAACCGUAAAGCUAGAGUCCGGAAGAGGAGAGUGGAAUUCCUGGUGUAGCGGUGAAAUGCGCAGAUAUCAGGAGGAACACCGGUGGCGAAGGCGGGUCUCUGGGCCGAUACUGACGCUGAGAAGCGAAAGCGUGGGGAGCGAACAGG
rnacentral:rRNA from 1 species